rnacentral:rRNA from 1 species
UCAUCUUCGGGGGUAGAGCACUGUUUCGGCUAGGGGGUCAUCCCGACUUACCAACCCGAUGCAAACUACGAAUACCGAAGAAUGUUAUCACGGGAGACACACGGCGGGUGCUAACGUCCGUCGUGAAGAGGGAAACAACCCAGACCGCCAGCUAAGGUCCCAAAGUCAUGGUUAAGUGGGAAACGAUGUGGGAAGGCACAGACAGCCAGGAUGUUGGCUUAGAAGCAGCCAUCAUUUAAAGAAAGCGUAAUAGCUCACUGGUCGAGUCGGCCUGCGCGGAAGAUGUAACGGGGCUAAACCAUGCACCGAAGCUGCGGCAGCGACACUAUGUGUUGUUGGGUAGGGGAGCGUUCUGUAAGCCUGCGAAGGUGUGCUGUGAGGCAUGCUGGAGGUAUCAGAAGUGCGAAUGCUGACAUAAGUAACGAUAAAGCGGGUGAAAAGCCCGCUCGCCGGAAGACCAAGGGUUCCUGUCCAACGUUAAUCGGGGCAGGGUGAGUCGACCCCUAAGGCGAGGCCGAAAGGCGUAGUCGAUGGGAAACAGGUUAAUAUUCCUGUACUUGGUGUUACUGCGAAGGGGGGACGGAGAAGGCUAUGUUAGCCGGGCGACGGUUGUCCCGGUUUAAGCAUGUAGGCUGGUUGUCCAGGCAAAUCCGGAUAAUCAAGGCUGAGGUGUGAUGACGAGG